CGGAAAGGCCUAGAGAAUUAAGUCCUCUGUUCAUUCAUAGAGCAGGUAGAGCGCAAGCUUUCCACACAAUACCCUGUCAAUGUGCCUCAAUCUUGCCUGGAGAGAGACCACUUCAAAAGGGUGAGAAGGCAAUUCAGUCUUUAUAACAGUUCUACAUGCAUCAAUA
rnacentral:sRNA from 1 species